AUUGAACGCUGGCGGCAUGCCUUACACAUGCAAGUCGAACGGUAACAGGUCUUCGGAUGCUGACGAGUGGCGAACGGGUGAGUAAUACAUCGGAACGUGCCUAGUAGUGGGGGAUAACUACUCGAAAGAGUGGCUAAUACAGCAUGAGAUCUACGGAUGAAAGCAGGGGAGCGCAAGACCUUGUGCUAAUAGAGCGGCCGAUGGCAGAUUAGGUAGUUGGUGGGAUAAAAGCUUACCAAGCCGACGAUCUGUAGCUGGUCUGAAAGGACGAUCAGCCACACUGGGACUGAGAAACGGCCCAGACUCCUACGGGAGGCAGCAGUGGGGAAUUUUGGACAAUGGGCGCAAGCCUGAUCCAGCAAUGCCGCGUGCAGGAUGAAGGCCUUCGGGUUGUAAACUGCUUUUGUACGGAACGAAAAGCCCCGGGUUAAUACCCUGGGGUCAUGACGGUACCGUAAGAAUAAGCACCGGCUAACUACGUGCCAGCCGCCGCCGUAA
rnacentral:rRNA from 1 species